rnacentral:rRNA from 1 species
GUCCACGCUGUAAACGAUGGGCACUAGGUGUGGGGGGUGUCGACUCCCUCCGUGCCGAAGCUAACGCAUUAAGUGCCCCGCCUGGGGAGUACGGCCGCAAGGCUAAAACUCAAAGGAAUUGACGGGGACCCGCACAAGCAGCGGAGCAUGUGGUUUAAUUCGACGCAACGCGAAGAACCUUACCUGGGCUUGACAUGUUCCUGACCGCUCUGGAAACAGGGCUUCCCUUCGGGGCAGGAUCACAGGUGGUGCAUGGCUGUCGU